rnacentral:hammerhead_ribozyme from 1 species
AUUCAGCUGAUCAGUUCCAAAUAGGAUGAAACCCGAGUCCUGAAU